UACGUAGGGUGCGAGCGUUAUUCGGAAUUACUGGGCGUAAAGCGCGUGUAGGCGGCCUAGUGUGUCGGGCGUGAAAUCCCACGGCUCAACCGUGGAAGUGCACUCGAAACUGCAAGGCUGGAGUACUGGAGAGGAUGGUAGAAUGCUCGGUGUAGAGGUGAAAUUCGUAGAUAUCGAGAGGAACACCGGCGGCGAAGGCGGGUUGCUGGGCUGACACUGACGCUGAGGCGCGAAAGCCAGGGGAGCGAACGGG
rnacentral:rRNA from 1 species